GCAUUCGUGCCCGAGCGGUUAAGGGGAUCGACUAGAAAUCGAUUGCGAAAUUCGCGCGUAGGUUCAAGUCCUACCGAAUGCG
rnacentral:tRNA from 1 species